rnacentral:lncRNA from 1 species
UCAGGUUACAUACGCUUCAGGUUACAGACUCCGCUAACCCAGAAAUAGUGCUUCAGGUUAAGAACUUUGCUUCAGGAUGAGAACAGAAAUCGUGCAGCGGCGGCGGGAGGCCCCUAAGGCUAAAGUGGUGCUUCAGGUUAAGAACAGUUUCAGGUUAAGUACGGACCUCCGGAAUGAAUUAAGUACUUAACCUGAGGUACCACUGUACUAGACUUCAAGUGCCAGCUUCAGCACUCAGUUCUACCAGCAGCGAUAUGCAUUUAGUUUUAGCCAUAAUUAAAACACAAAAAAGCACAAGUCGUUUAGUUUUAGCCUAACUGUGGCCUCAGAGUUGGAUGGGGGGGGUGCUUGCCUACUAUUGCUCCUCCUUCCCCUUGCCAGCUGUGUCUCUGCCCAUGUGCUGCUGCCCAUUUCAGUAAGAGAAGCAAUAUUCAUCACCCUGACCUUGCAGGGCCAUUGCCCAAUGUUGGGAAGAGAGACACAUGCUCUUGCCCACUGAGAGACAAAGUGAAGAAACUGGCCACUGUGACCUCAUGUUGAUGCCGCCCAAUUGAAGGAGAGAGAUCAGGCAUUGUGACCUUUUAUUUAUGAUGCCUGACUGAAGAACUAAGACUGACCACUGUGACCUCAGGCAGAUCAUGUCUGUCAAAGGAUCAGUAUUUGCCACUGUGUCCACAUAUUGCUGACCACUUUUGCACUCCAAACUUUUUGCACUUUCAUAAGAAAGGUACCUUUUGCACUCCAAACUGGAAAGGAGUUUCUUAAUUUUCUGUCUUAUUCUCUUAUCCUUUCAAAUGCAAGUUUCACUUUUCCUGGCUUGCAGCCCCCACUGUCCACCAAUAUUUUAUUUUAGGUGAUUGCUCUGUAGCUGCUGUAUGCAAAUACAGUGGUACCUCAGGUUAAGAACUUAAUUCGUUCUGGAUGUCCGUUCUUAACCUGAAACUGUUCUUAACCUGAGGUACCACUUUAGCUAAUGGGGCCUCCCACUGCCUCCACACCGCCACCGCACGUUUUCUGUUCUCAUCGUGAAGCAAAGUUCUUAACCUGAAGUACUAUUUCUGGGUUAGCAGAGUCUGUAACCUGAAGCGUCUGUAACCUGAAGCAUCUGUAACCCGAGGUACCAAUGUAAUGGAUAAAAUUUGAAAUUUGCACUUAUCCAGAUUAUGCAAUGCAGUUCUCCAACCAAUGUUUACAAAAAUGCAUAUAUUAGAGGAGUAUGUGCCUAAAAAUGACGGUAUUUGUGAAAAUAACAUACAUGUUUUCCACAUUUCUGCAGCAAUUUGUGAUCUAUUUAAAAAAGAAUCAUUGUGAAAUUUCAUCAGCAUUUCAGUAUGGAUUUAUCCUAUUAAACACAUUUUUAUAUGCAGUUCUGGCCCAUGUAAGCACUUUUGAAAGUAUUCUUUCCUGAUAUGCUUGUAUGUACAUUUUCUCCUUUUGUAGAAAGAAGACAUGUGAAGUAUUAGCUAAUUAUUCACACAAGCCGUAGUUUAAUGAGAGAAAGUGAUUCUCAUGAAGAAUGAACCUUCUCCAGGUACCCAGAGGUUAUGGUGUAAAACAAUCAAUAUUCUAAGCUGAGAAACAUCAGUUUUACCUGAAGCUGCACAGCUCCUAUGUUCGUGAUGUGGCUGCUUUAUCAGUAGUGAAGUACCAUGAAACGUAAGAAAUUAUACUUCUUGAAGAUUUCAUAAUUAUUGUGCUUUUAAUGGAAUGAAGGGAGCAAAAACAAGUUUCCAAUUAUUUUCAGAUGCCCUACGGAGAAGAAAGAAGUAGCCGCACUAUCUCCAAUCCCCCUUUAUUAUAGUCAUUAUUUCUUUGCAAGGAUGUACAACUUUUGUCAACUACCCUAAUAAUGACAUGAAACACUGAACAUUACUGAGUGGGGAAAGCUCUUUCUGCUUUCCAAAGGUUAUCAAAAGUGCUGAGAACGGAAGAAUAGCAGAGUGAUUUGCUCCCCCC